rnacentral:rRNA from 1 species
UUUACUCGGACAGUUUGGGUCAUGGUUCAAGUAGUUUCGAAUUUAUACACAUCACGUAGUGCACGGAAUAUAUUCGGCAACUGGUUGCGGGGUAUUUAUAAAUAAUUUUCUACACAUAUUUUUGUGGGAGCGGCGGCUUUAUGCUGGGCAAUGUGGCUCACCAGGAAUGAUGUGGUUUUUAAUUAUAAAUGUGUCCCAUCUCCUAUGCAGGUUAUUCAUAUUUGUACACGAUGGCUCCGUACAUGGUCUAUCCUGCAGAAGCCGAAAGACAGGGACCUUUUUAUGAUGACGUCUACAUGGCUGGAGCGUACGGCCAGGUAG